GCCUAAUAGUUUAUUUGCACGCGUCAUGAAAGCAAAAUACUUCCCAAUGGGGGACUUUAUGAGUCUAGGAUUAGGUUCUUACCCUUCGUAUACCUGGCGAAGUAUUUGGGAAGCUAGAGGACUCAUUGAGGAGGGGGUUGGAUAGAGAAUCAGAGACGGCAAUGCAGUAAAUAUUUGGACUGAUGCAUGGUUGCUGGGGCCUGAAAAUGGUAGGGUACAAUGUCAGCAUAUUGAUAUCCGGUAUUCUGAGGUGUCAGAUUUAAUUGAAAGGGAAUCUAUUACUUGGAAGCAAGAUAUUAUUUGUUCAUUAUUUGGAGAGGAGCAGCUGAUGAGAGUCCUCUUAAUCCCGUUGGCGAGCAGUAAACAACAUGAUGCGUUAAUAUGGAGAGGUGACAAUACUGGGACUUAUACAGUCAAAAGUGGUUAUAAGUGGCUAAUUACAGUGGAGGGAUCUAGAAUACAAAGUGAAUUUCUAUCUCAAUUCUUUGUAAAAAUGUAGGCUCUUAAGGUGCCAAGCAAGAUUCGUAUACAUAUGUGGAGGGUUUCUAAUGAAUAUGUGCCUACACUGCAUAAUCUGAGAGCCCGCAAGUUGGUGGUAAACACGCUUUGUCCAGUAUGUCGAGUAGAAAAGGAAACAGUGAGCCACCUUUUUAGGGAUUGCAUCUUUACUCAAUAGGUAUUGCGAGAGUUGGGGGUGGUUAAUUCAACAUCCAACAGAUAAUUUAAUUGGAAAAAGUGGUUAGCAUUAGAGUUUGAGAAUCAUAGUAAUGAAGCAUGCAAAAUCAAAGCUAUUUCUUUUUGGGUUAUUUGGUACAAUCGCAACAGAAUUUACCAUGAAAGGACGAGGAGUGAGUACAUAAAAUUGUGGGAUUUAUCAAUGCAUAUUGUUUAAAAAUAGCGCAUAUGGGUGAGAUUUUGAAGAACGUGCAUGAGACUAACAAUUAUGUGUAGAAAACCACCUGUUGAUAAUAUUAUAAAAAUUAAUUUUGAUGCUUCGUUUAAUUAACAUUCUCAAAGAUUGUGUUCAGGAGUCAUUGCGUGAAAUAAGGAAGGAUUGGUGAUGGCAUCGUGUGCUUACCCAUAGAAAAAUAUUUCAGAUCCGAUUAUGGCCGAGGCGAGGGUGUGUUUGCAGGCUGUUACUAUGGCAGAGGAAAUGGGCUUUCAAGAUAUAUGUGUUGAGGGAGAUGCAUUAACUGUAAUCAGAAUACUAAACUCUACAGAAGAAGAUAGAUCAUGCAUUAGUAGUCUGAUUCAAGAAAUCAAUGGAAGAACCCCUAAUUUUAGAAGAUUACCAAGAGAAGCUAAUAAAGCGGCACAUGGGAUGGCAUUGAAAGAGUAAAGAUAUGAAUAUCCCCAAUACUGGAUGGAAGAGGUACCAUGUGCGGUGGAAGGACUGGUGAACCACGAUAGGAGAAGCAGCAAUGAUGGUGGAUAACUGGAAUAGUUGAGUCCGAACUAUGUAACGUUUGGUCUGUCCGAUAAACUCGUGGAUUUUGACAGAGACUAGGG
rnacentral:lncRNA from 1 species